ACAUCCCAGUCUAUCCAGCUCUCCUCCCAUUGCCCUCCCUCUUGCUUUCAGUGUCCUCCAUCUCUCUGGUGUUGCUCGUUUUCCUGUAUUAAGGACAUCUUAACUUCCAGAGCUCUGCCUCUUCAUCCAUCCAUUUAUUCUUAUAAUCUCAACCUAACUGUUUGAAAGUGAAGCAGCUCAAAGCUGACCUUGUAAAGACUCUUACUGACCGGACCACACCACACCUGUGUCCCUGAAUCCAUGGAAGCCAAAGCCAAGGCAGGGGCUCCAGCACCCAAGGCAGCAUCCAAAGCGGACAAGAAGGAGCCAGCAGCACCACGCAAGGCUGAUCAUGCCCCUGCGGCCCCUGAGCCCGAGAAUCCCCACUUCUCCUCCGUUCAAGAUGGAGCAGCAGAAGCUGAGUCAGCAGCGGGUGACAAGGCCUCUGGUUCAGACUCUGUGGAACAUCUCAAGCCUUUUCUUAUUGGCGGUGCCAUUAUCGCCGCAGGAGCCAUUUUGCUGGGAGUUCUGCUGCUGGCAAGGAGAAAUUAAAACCAAAUUAAGAUAAGAAUAUUGUUGACUGGUUCACUGACUUCUCUGGUUUGAUGAGCGAUGGGGAGACACAGCAGUCUGUGUGUAUUUUCUUAUUUUAUCUGUCUUAUUUAGGGUUUUUUUUUUUUUUUUGGCCUGCUUUCAUGUGUAGUGCAUCAGCCUAUGUAACGUUUGAUCAAGGCUUUAUAUGGAGCAUAACUAUACUUAUUAUAUGCAUGAAGUUGCUACAAUACUGCAUAUAAAAUGUAAUUAGAACAUUUUUUAAAAAGAAAAAAAAAACUACACUGCAUUACAUAGCCGCCACAACUCUUUAAAUGUGGUUUAAUCUAAUACUUUUUUCCAGUUUGUAUAAAUAUUGAUAGCUUUUCGAUAUUUAUGCAUUCUUGCAAUUUAUUUUGCUUAAAAGUCAUGGGGGGAAAAAUCAUUUUCUCUAUCAAUAAUGUCCCCGGACUGUCUGAGUUCUAUGAUUUCAAAGUAAAUGAGUUGGUGAAAGGAGAAUGUUCUGAAAGGUUUGGCCAAAUAAACUACAUACAAGGUAGAUAGUGAAUCAUAAAGAUUGAGAUUAAUUUGAGUCUGUAAAAGUCUGCUCUAGUGAAAGUUUACCUUUGAUGUGACCAUGUGGGCUUGGAAACAGAAGCUGACAGUAUAGAUUUUGAUCUGUUUUGGGCUGGAAACAAGCAAAGUGCAUCUAAUAUGUAAAGUAUGUGCUAACAGAGAUAAAAAAAAACAAAAACAAUUUCAUGUUGAGGUAAAGACGUUAGUUGUUGUUUUUUUUUUUACCCAGAAUUUGGUUGAUUCUCUGUUAUUACAGAUGCCUUUCCUGGGCUGAGAAGUCUUCACUAAGUUCAGCAAAAAUACAGUCUGUGUUAAUGUUCAGAGAUCUAAAAUCACUUAACUAUUUUUUUUUUUACUUUUAUUUUUUUUACAAUCA